GGGGCACUCCAGCUCUGUUUCCGGGGAGACACUUCACCUGCCUAACCUGCACUCAGAACUUAAGCUUCUCAUUGGCCAGAGUCUUUGUAGGGUUUAUUUGCUGAUAUAUCCCAAGUACUGGAACAGUGUCUAACACAGAGUAGGAGCUCAGAAGAUAUGUACUGAAGAAUGACUCCUGUCCCCGGCGAACUUAGAGUCUACCAUGACAGCCAGAUAAACCCAUUAUUAUAAAUCGUGCACCUGUGAACGAGCUGACAUCAAGGAACGGAUUACGCACAUUUCUGCAUUCCUGGCCAGCAGACUACUGUUGAUGUGGUGCACAGGAAGUACUGAGAUGAA